UACGGAGGGUGCAAGUGUUAAUCGGAAUUACUGGGCGUAAAGCGUGCGUAGGCGGUUCGUUAAGUCUGUUGUGAAAGCCCCGGGCUCAACCUGGGAAUGGCAAUGGAUACUGGCGAGCUAGAGUGUGUCAGAGGAUGGUGGAAUUCCCGGUGUAGCGGUGAAAAUGCGUAGAGAUCGGGAGGAACACCAAUUGCGAAGGCAGCUUGCUGGGACGGUACUGACGCUGAGGCUCGAAAGCGUGGGGAGCAAACAGG
rnacentral:rRNA from 1 species